UUCAGGAUGCUGCUCUACCCACGCCAUGAUAUCCGUGAUGUAGUCCGGAGGUAGAGCAGAAAACACUGUCGGGCCGAAGAAGAUAAGCUCUUGAAGCUGGUCGGAUUGGUAGCGCACAUCCAAAUCCAAUCCUACAGCCUUUCCAGCAAGUGCGGCAUUGUCACCUUUAAGAGCUAGAACCUCUUCUUCCGCACUCGCGAGCUCGCUUUUCAGCUCAGUGGUUU
rnacentral:lncRNA from 1 species